rnacentral:rRNA from 1 species
GGCAAAAUAGUGAGAAGAUUUGUAAGUAGAGGUGACAUGCCUAACGAGCCUGGUGAUAGCUGGUUGUCCAGAAAAUGAAUCUAAGUUCAGCUUUAAAGAUACCCAAAUUCGAAAGUAACCCCACUGUAGCUUUAAAAGUUAGUCUAAAAAGGUACAGCCUUUUAGAAACGGAUACAACCUUGACUAGAGAGUAAAAGUUUAACACUACCAUAGUAGGCCGUANAAAGCAGCCAUCAACUUGAAGAAAGCGUUAAAGCAUCACACGAACAACAAUUAAAUAGAUUCCAACAGACGAAAUGAUUAACUCNUAGCCCCAAUACUGGACGUAAUCUAUUAUAGAAUAGAAGCAAUAAUGUUAAUAUGAGUAACAAGAAAAAUUUUCGUCCUUGCAUAAGUCUAACGUCAGUGCCUGAUAAUACUNUGACCACUAACAGCUCGAAUAAAAUAAUCCAACAAUAAACAAUUUAUUGAUUAUACUGUUAACCCAACACAGGAGUGCAUCUAAGGAAAGAUU